CGUCGUCGCGCGCGUCGUACUCGCCCGCCUCGUCCGCCUCGCCUUCGCCCUCCGCCUCCGUCUCGCCCUCCUCGUCGGAUCGUGCGCCGCCCGGCCGAUCCUCGCGAGCCGCCUCCUGCCACACCGACAACUACUUCCCGCUACUCCCUCUGCGCGCUCCUUUGCUCCUCCUUCGUGACCCGAAUGGUCACGGGAUCAACCAGUUCUUCGCGAGUGAACUCUGAGGUUUAGCUCUGUUCUCGAUGUUAAAUUGAACACUAAAUAUUUUCAUGAGUUCACUUCGCGAAGGCCGAAGUAGGUGGCGGAGUAAGAAGCAGUCCCGGUCUCUACUUACUUUCAUGCCGUCGAGUCCGGGCGGCCCCUGCGGAACAACAGACAGGUCAGAUCACAUAGCGCUCUCGCGGGGGGCGGACAUGCUACACAUACGGACUGCACAUUAUAUUGUAUAAAUAGUAGUGGUAAUCUUACUUGCCUUAUUUGUAAUCAAGUGAUGCAACUUUAGAGUCGUCCAUGCGUCAGAAGUGAAAUGCAAAAUUUGACACAGAUUUAUAUGUUCAGAAGAUGAGAGUCGAAGGACUUAUAAUUUAGUCAAUACAUGCACCAGCCUGACUGCUGCGUCAGUUGCCUGUGCGCGAUUGCACAGACGCCUCUUUGUCAAUGUAGAAUAUCGACAGCAUAACUGUUGCGGGAAAAACGUGAAGAAAUGCGAAGAUAAAAGAAAGACCAGAAUAUGCACGGCAUGCAAAUAUUUAUUUAUUUUCCUUGAAAAUAAUUUGUGAACAACAAUAUUUUAUGCUCUCGUGAGUAUGGUACAAAUGACAACUUUAAAUUUUCAUAAAAAAACUAAAUCCUUAAUUAGGUAAAUUCAUAGUACGUACACUAAACGUAACACAUAACGAUACGACGACGGAAGGACUAUCGGACCGGCGGCGCGGCGAGUGGCGACACAUCCUCGGCUCGGCUCGCCGCGAGCCGACGGGUAAUUAGGCUCGAAUCUUAAUCUGUUUCCGCAAAACACUUAGCCUAAAAAUCGUUACAUUUUGUACAUUCGAUUUAGAACAAUUAUAAAAGACGACAUUUAAAAUACAUUAGCGAUAGAACAUGACGAUACAUAGACGAGGGUAAAAGCGAAUACGUCCGAAACGACGUCUAAGUAUGAAGGUUAUUAGUGCGGACGGAGCACUCGGGACUCAGGCGACGCGGGGCGCGCUCGCCAGCGCACUGCAGCCUCGCGUUAUACAAUAUGGUCGUGCCUUAUAUUAUACAACUUUAAAAUAUAAUGCCUCAAUAUCUUCAUCGAUCGAUUACCAUUAACAAUUUAUUCGUACAAAUUUAAGAUUCACAAUGCAUAAGCUGUGUGCGCUGACGCCGAAUUACAUCUUAAUUAUAGAUUACACACGAAUAGAAAUGACGAUAAUAAUCAUAGGACGAUAAUAUAGGACUUAGUCUAAGAAUUGGGCGAUAUCGAUAAAUACUGAAACAUUUAUAGUUGUCUACAGAGGCGGGAGUACGCGUACACGACGCGUUCGCUUGUGUGCGUGGCACACUAGAGCGAGCACUGCACUCCCCGACACUCCCCGACACCGUCACAGUGCGAAGAGGACGUCGUCUCCUCUCCUCUCCUGAGAUCAUACUCUAAUAUACAAAUAUAUACUUAUUUGAAUCAAAAUAGUUACUCUGAUCGAUGAACAUUUUACAACUUAUUUCUAACUACAUGUAAUGAUAUAUUAUACACGCAAUAUGAGUACUUUACAUCACGAACGAAAUACUACACGGAAUGAAAAAUGUUACAGAAAAUCCUUAAGUUAUUAUCGGCGAAGGUAUUAUACAAGUGUCGCUGGCCAAGUAGACCGACAGCGAGCAACGAUACACCGCGUCGAACGCGUCGAACGUCGAAGGAGUACCUACUCGUCGUCGGCGCGGUAACCGACCGUCGGGACUGCCUUCGACGUCGAUUCGUUUACAAUUACAACCUAAGAUUAUGAAAAAUAUCAUCUUUAUACAGAUUUCAACACUUACGUCUAAAUUUGGUAACGUCUUAAAUCUUAGACUUAGCCUAAUUACGUACAAAUAUUACAAUUUACAGGCAGUGGACGUGCGGCGCGCGGCGGCGACGCUCGCUCCUACGUGAAGGCGAAGUCCGGCGGCCAGCGGUUCUCCUGCGCCCACACCACGGGUCAAAGAAUCGGAUUGUCGGCAUACUCACUCUAGGUCCGACGUCGCCUAGUCGGCCAGGCUCGCCCGCCUCUCCCGGCAGGCCUACUGGGCCCUGAACAAAACAUUCAAUGUAGGAAUACAAACAAUUUU